CCUACGGGUUGCAGCAGUGGGGAAUAUUGGACAAUGGGCGAAAGCCUGAUGCAGCAACGCCGCGUGCGGGAUGAAGGCCCUAGGGUUGUAAACCGCUUUCAGCAGGGAAGAAAAUGACGGUACCUGCAGAAGAAGGUGCGGCCAACUACGUGCCAGCAGCCGCGGUGACACGUAGGCACCAAGCGUUGUCCGGAUUUAUUGGGCGUAAAGAGCUCGUAGGCGGUUCAGUUAGUCGGGUGUGAAAACUCUGGGCUCAACCCAGAGACGCCACCCGAUACUGCUGUGACUAGAGUACGGUAGGGGAGUGGGGAAUUCCUGGUGUAGCGGUGAAAUGCGCAGAUAUCAGGAGGAACACCAGUGGCGAAGGCGCCACUCUGGGCCGUAACUGACGCUGAGGAGCGAAAGCAUGGGUAGCAAACAGGAUUAGAUACCCUUGUAGUC
rnacentral:rRNA from 1 species